rnacentral:misc_RNA from 1 species
AACGCACAUUGCGCCCUUUGGUAUUCCGAAGGGCAUGCCUGUUCGAGCGUCAUUUAGAUCAUCAAGCAAAGCUUGGUAUUGGGUUUGGUUCGAAAGGACCAUCCCGAAACUCUCAGGCGAUGUUACCAAAGUCAUCGACGUAGCAAUGUCAUCGUCAGAAGUCUUUGAUCAUAUCAGCCAAAACUUAACCCUAAAUUUUGACCUCGGAUCAGGUAGGAAUACCCGCUGAACUUAA